GUCGAGCGACGCAUGCCGGAGGGGUAACCCACUGGCAUGACGGAGCGGCGAACGGGUGAGUAACACGUGAGCAACCUGCCCCACAGAUCGGGAUAGCCCAGGGAAACCUGGAUUAAUACCGGAUACCCUCGGAGGAUCGCAUGAUCCAUCGAGGAAAUGCCUUUGUGCUGUGGGAUGGGCUCGCGGCUUAUCAGCUAGUUGGUGGGGUAACGGCCUACCAAGGCUACGACGAGUAGCUGGUCUGAGAGGACGAUCAGCCACACUGGGACUGAGACACGGCCCAGACUCCUACGGGAGGCAGCAGCAGGGAAUUUUGCGCAAUGGGCGAAAGCCUGACGCAGCAACGCCGCGUGGGGGAUGAAGGCCUUCGGGUUGUAAACCCCUUUCAGGAGGGAAGAAAUUGACGGUACCUCCAGAAGAAGCACCGGCCAACUACGUGCCAGCAGCCGCGGUAAUACGUAGGGUGCGAGCGUUAUCCGGAAUCAUUGGGCGUAAAGAGCUCGUAGGCGGUUCAGCAAGUCGGCUGUGAAAGUCCGAGGCUCAACCUCGGAAUUGCAGUCGAUACUGCUGUGACUCGAGUCCGGUAGAGGAGAACGGAAUUCCCGGUGUAGCGGUGAAAUGCGCAGAUAUCGGGAGGAACACCAGUAGCGAAGGCGGUUCUCUGGGCCGGCACUGACGCUGA
rnacentral:rRNA from 1 species